rnacentral:misc_RNA from 1 species
GAUGAAGAACGCAGCGAAAUGCGAUACGUAAUGUGAAUUGCAGAAUUCAGUGAAUCAUCGAGUCUUUGAACGCACAUUGCGCCCCCUGGUAUUCCGGGGGGCAUGCCUGUCCGAGCGUCAUUGCUGCCCUCAAGCACGGCUUGUGUGUUGGGCCUCCGUCCUCCUCCCGGGGGACGGGCCCGAAAGGCAGCGGCGGCACCGCGUCCGGUCCUCGAGCGUAUGGGGCUUCGUCACCCGCUCUUGUAGGCCCGGCCGGCGCUUGCCGACACAUCAAUCUUUUUUCCAGGUUGACCUCGGAUCAGGUAGGGAUACCCGCUGAACUUAAGCAUAUCAAUAAGCGGAAGGA